rnacentral:rRNA from 1 species
UACGGAGGAUCCAAGCGUUAUCCGGAUUUAUUGGGCUUAAAGGGUGCGUAGGCGGCUUAUUAAGUCAGGUGUGAAAGACGGUGGCUCAACCAUCGCAGUGCCCUUGAUACUGAUGAGCUUGAAUACACUUGAGGUAGGCGGAAUGUGACAAGUAGCGGUGAAAUGCAUAGAUAUGUCACAGAACACCAAUUGCGAAGGCAGCUUACUAAGGUGCAAUUGACGCUGAGGCACGAAAGCGUGGGGAUCAAACAGG